AGAGUUUGAUCCUGGCUCAGAUUGAACGCUGGCGGCAUGCCUUACACAUGCAAGUCGAACGGCAGCGGACCUUCGGGUGCCGGCGAGUGGCGAACGGGUGAGUAAUGUAUCGGAACGUACCUUUCAGUGGGGGAUAACGUAGCGAAAGUUACGCUAAUACCGCAUAUUCUGUGAGCAGGAAAGCAGGGGAUCGCAAGACCUUGCGCUGAUUGAGCGGCCGAUAUCAGAUUAGCUAGUUGGUGAGGUAAAGGCUCACCAAGGCGACGAUCUGUAGCGGGUCUGAGAGGAUGAUCCGCCACACUGGAACUGAGACACGGUCCAGACUCCUACGGGAGGCAGCAGUGGGGAAUUUUGGACAAUGGGGGCAACCCUGAUCCAGCCAUGCCGCGUGAGUGAAGAAGGCCUUCGGGUUGUAAAGCUCUUUCGGCC
rnacentral:rRNA from 1 species